rnacentral:rRNA from 1 species
UACGAAGGGGACUAGCGUUGUUCGGAAUUACUGGGCGUAAAGCGCACGUAGGCGGAUUUGUAAGUCAGGGGUGAAAUCCCGGGGCUCAACCUCGGAACUGCCUUUGAUACUGCAAAUCUCGAGUCCGAUAGAGGUGGGUGGAAUUCCUAGUGUAGAGGUGAAAUUCGUAGAUAUUAGGAAGAACACCGGUGGCGAAGGCGGCCCACUGGUCCGGUACUGACGCUGAGGUGCGAAAGCGUGGGGAGCAAACAGG